rnacentral:lncRNA from 1 species
ACAUAAAAUGAAUGGCAAAGAUCAUGAUUAGUAAAAUAAAAAGAAGUGUUACCAUUAAAAACCAGGAACAAACUUACUUGUACUUAAAUUGUUUUGAAAGUACAAACCAAUGCAGUAAGAAAAUAAGUUAAAGUAUCAAGUAUAUACAAAUGGAGGCAAAUUUAUUAUUAUUUGCACAUGAUAAGAUUGUAUACAUGGAAAGAGAAUCAGCUGAAGAACUGUUUUAAUGGUAAGAGAAUUUUAGAGAUCGGCUGGUUAAAAAAUUAAUAUAUAAAAUUAAAUAGCUUCCUAGACACAAAUAGUAAAGUUAGAAAAUCAAAUGCAGCAAAGAUCUAAUUUACAACAGCAACAAAAGAGUUACAUUGUCUAGGAAUAAACUGGAAAAAUGUUCAUUGUUGGAAGCAAAUGAUGAAACUCUACUGAGGCAUAAAUGAAGAAAUUGAAAAAAGGAAAAGGCACAUUUCUUAUGGAUACAUAGGUAUCUUGUUCACCAAUUAGAGAUCAAAAGUCACAAGCUCUCAGACAAUUUGAACCAAACUGUGCCAGUCACUUCAGUAAGAGGGAUGAGGUUUCACUAUCUGGCUUCAUGCUUUUGGUAUUGGUAAAGGUGCUUAAAAAUAGGAUUAGUGAAAAAAGUAUGGCUAAGAUGGAACAGUGGUCCUCAGAGUUAAGAACACAUCAUAAUCAAGCAGGGCUUGUUAAGACACAGGUUUCUUGGUUCCUCUUUCAGAGUUUUCAAUCUUAUAGGUCCUGGAUGAGGCCUCAGGUUGUAUAUUUCUAACAAAUUCCCAGGUGAUGUUGAUGCUGCCGGUUCUAUGCUUUGGAAGCCCCUGGCGUAGAGAACGAUUUAUGCAAAAAUCCCUUUCCAAGUCAUACAGCAUAGAGAGCCUUUCAAAUGGUUCGUGUGACUUGAUUCUUCCUGGACGCUAGACAAGAACCUGGGCGCCGAGAGGGCAGGGGCUGCCACUCUGACCCUCCACUGAGCAGGUUGGCACUUGGCUGUCCCCGGAUGGCAGAGGUGAAAGAGCAUUGGUUGUAACACAUUUGGAUGCUGCUCAGAAGCUUCUCUGCUCACCACUGAGCCACUUGUAGCCUUGAUGCUCAGCUGCUCGUGUUGCUCCACCACCUGAAGUCUUUUA